CAUGCGCAGAAUUUCUGUCAAAUUGUUGGCAGUACCCUGCUAGCGUUGUUCUGAUUACAAAAUUUUUCGUGUUUGUGUACUGAAUUUUUAUUGCGCGCCAAUUUGUACAUAAACAUUUCGAAGAUAAUUUUGCAUUUCAGUCUUUAUUAUGGCCGGGGGUAAAGCUGGUAAAGAUUCCGGAAAGGCAAAAGCAAAAGCAAUAUCUAGGUCUGCUAGAGCAGGCUUGCAAUUUCCAGUUGGAAGAAUCCACAGACAUUUGAAGCACAGAACAACCAGUCAUGGACGUGUUGGAGCAACUGCUGCUGUGUACAGUGCUGCUAUUCUUGAGUAUUUAACAGCAGAAGUA